CCUCAUUCGUUGUGUAGCAGGCGCGAAAACUUUACAAUGUGCGAAAGCACGAUAAGCCAACUCUCAGGGCCCCCCUAGGGAGCGCUCCUCAGGUUCUAAAAAACCCACUUAAAACCCUAAAGGGGGC
rnacentral:rRNA from 1 species